UGAAGGCAUAAAAUUGGAAUCCAGCAGAAACCUCCAAUAACUCUACACUUCUUCAAGUCUGGGAGCUAUGCUGUAUGACCUGCUGGGUAUUUACACCAAUUUGCUUUGAGAUUUUCCAGGUUUCUCUGAGCGAAGACACCUGUACGUGUAUUUGUUUAAUGUGUACUUGAUGUUGCACUCCAAGAAGCACACAGUAUUUCACAAAUCAACCAAAUGAUUCCAAUGGCAUGGAAACCAUGACGAUUGAAGAUGAUGGAUUUGUUGCAGCCUUCAUCCACCUUCACAGCCAUUGAGUUCAAAGUAACUUCACCCGCCUGUUCCACCGUUGAGGUCUUGGUUGGAUUGUUCUUUGUCAGGGACCUCACCCUUGACCUUACCACCAUGGGUGACCCUACCAGGAGCAUAGAUCCAGACGGCUUCGCUCUCGGGAUCUCAGGACCACGACAAGCUUCUCCAC